GGUCGGGUGGUGUAGUUGGUUAUGUUCGUGCCUCCACCUGAUUUAAUGAAGUCAUUCUAAUUGUUAGCAGCACAUCUCGUUAACAGUUUACUGUAACAAAAAACCGAGAAGGUCCUGGGAUCGAGCCCCAGCCUGAUCA